GGGUCUCUAUGGGUCUCUAUAGGGCUCUAUGGGGCACUAUGGGGCUCUAUGGGCCUCUAUGGGGCACUGCGAGGUCUUUGAGGGGCUCUAUGGGUCUCUGUGGGAUUCUGUGGGGCACUAUGGGGCUCUAUGGGGCACUAUGGGGCUCUGUGGGGCACUGUGGGGCUCAGUGGGUCUCUAUGGGUCUCUACGGGGCUCUACGGGGCUCUAUGGGGCUCUAUGGGUCUCUAUAGGGCUCUACGGGGCUCUAUGGGGCACUGUGGGUCACUAUGGGGCCUCUGUGGGGUGCUGUGGGGCCUCUAUGGGUCUGUAUGGGUCUGUAUGGGGCUCUAUGGGUCUCUAUGGGUCUCUGUGGGGUCUUUAUGGGUCUCUAUGGGUUGCUAUGGGUCUCUCUGGGUCCCAGUGCUUUUCUAUGGGUCUCUAUGGUUCUCUGUGUGUCCCUAUGGGUCUCUGUGGGUCUCUAUGGGUCUCUGUGGGUCUCUAUGGGGCUCUAUGGGGACUGCGAGGUCUUUGUGGGGCACUAUGGGUCGCUAUGUGUCUCCAUGGGGCUCUGCGGGGCACUGUGGGUCACUAUGGGGCUCUAUGGGGUAUCUAUGGGUCUCUAUGGGGCACUGUGGGUCUCUAUAGGGCUCUAUUGGUCUCUAUGGGUCUCUAUGGGGCUCUAUGGGUCGCUAUGGGUCGCUAUGGGGAAAUUGCUAAUUAAUGACGCUUGGUGGGUAAUAAUCAAUGGUAGCAGAUGAGUAAUUAACGACAGCGGAUGGGUAAUUGGUGACGCUGGCUGGCUCAUUAUGGUGCUAAACGGGGAAUUAAUGAGGGCAGAUGGCUAAUUAAUGAGGGCAGAUGGCUAAUUAAUGACGGCAGAUGGCUAAUUAAUGACGGUGGGCAGGUAAUUAAUGACGGUAACAGAGUAAUUAAUGACGGUAACAGAGUAAUUAAUGACGUUGAAUGGCUAAUUUAGGACCUUGAAUGUGUAAUUACUGUCGCUAAAUGGUAAUUAAUUGGUAAUUGAAUGGUAAUUAAUGUCUGCGGAUGGGUAAUUAGUGAGAGCGGAUGGGUCACUAAUGACAGUUGAUGGCUCGUUAACGAAGCUGGAUGGGUAAUUAGUGACUUUAAUUGGGUCAUUGAUGACUCUGAAGGGUCAUUAAUGACCCUAAUUGGCUAAUUGAUGACGUGAGGUGGGGAAUUAAUGAGGUUGGGUGGGUAAUUAAUGGCAAUAAGCGGCUAAUUAAUGGCUCGAAAUGGCUACUUAACGACCCGCAACAAGUAAUUAAUGAGUAAUAAAUGACACGAAACGGGUAAUUAAUGACUCCGG
rnacentral:lncRNA from 1 species